rnacentral:lncRNA from 7 species
UCUGCGAUUGCUUUAGCUGUUCAUUUUUCUACAUGUUGUAGGGGCUUAGCACGAGUAGGAGGGUGCGCUCGCGACGACAGCUUGCACGGGAAUCACUGGAAUCGCGUGGUAGGCGGGCACGGUUGCGAUGACGGAUCUAGAUACAUAGUCUAAGUGUUUUAUCUAAAUGUUCUCUAUAAUGGUGUAAUACUCAAAAUUGUG